GGCAGGUAGGCUCCUUAUAGGACGUAGACAUCCGCUAAGAACGGAUUUUACGAAACUCAACCCCUAAGGGGGUAAAACGGGGGUUGCAAGUUUGUAUGAAAUUCCUAUGUUUUUGAAGUAAGAGACUUGAAAUUUAAAAUGUAUGCUCUAUAGAUGAUGAGAAGGUGUUCAAAUAAUGUAUCUUUAGAAAUCAACUCCCUUUUGGGGUUAAAAUGGGGUAUGGUAGGUUGACUCACUCAUCACGAAAUCUCUGAAACUAUAACAGCUACAAACUUGAAAAUUUGCAGAUAGGUUCCUUAUAGGGCGUAAACAUCCGCUGAGAACGGAUUUUACGAAACUCGACCCAUAAGGGGAUACAACGGGGUUGGAAGUUUGUAUGAAAGUCCUAUGUUAUUAAGGUAAGAGACUUGAAAUUUAAAAUGUAUGCUCUAUAGAUGGCGAGGAAGUGUCCAAAUAAUACAUCGUAAUCUAUAUACAUAAAAGAGAAAGGUCACUGACUCACUCAUCACGAGAACUCAAAAACCGCUGGAUGGUCCAUCCAUCCAUGAUGGACAAAUAUGAAAUUUGGCAGGGAUGUAGAUUAUAGUUAGUAGACGUCCGCUAAGAACGGAUUUUGCGAUAUUCCAUCGCUAAGGGGGUUUAGUUGAGGUUGAUAGUUUGUAUGAAACAUAUACAGCAGCUAUAAGUUCGCCUGAUAGGUUAUUCAUACUGCAGCUUGAAAAUAAAACUAAAAAUGUGGUGUAUAGAGAGGUUUUAUAAAAAUAACUAUUAAAUUAUACUAAAUUGUGCCUUUGAAAAAUUUACUCAGGGUGAUAAGCAUUUCAAGUGACUGAAACAAAAAAAUAAUUUGCGUUAAGCAUCUUAAUAGUAAUGCAUAUCUUCAUAACCACGCGGACGUGGUCGCGGGCAACAGUUAGUGUAUUAUAAAACAAAGUUCCCAAAAGCGUAUGUGAUCGAUUCCCUCAAAAUCUACUGAACGGAUUUUCAUGCGGUUUCACAAAUGGAGAGAGGGCUUCAAGAGGAAGGUUUACGGAACGGCAAAGCCGAUUUUGAUGAAAGUUUCACUGGAAGUUUACCGGGAAAAAUUUGUGACAAACUGAUUUCAACGCGGGCGAAGCCGCGGGCACAGCUAG
rnacentral:misc_RNA from 1 species